GGCGAGAUGGCCGAGCGGUCUAAGGCGCUACGUUAAGGAGUUCCUUAAUAACAUCAUCUUGAAUGAUUCCGUAGUCCGAAAGGGCGUGGGUUCGAAUCCCACUCUCGUCA
rnacentral:tRNA from 1 species